rnacentral:tRNA from 1 species
UGGCUCAGUUGGUAGAGCAUGGUACUUGCAAUGCCAGGGUUGUGAGUUUGAUUCCCGU